rnacentral:rRNA from 1 species
CAGGCCUAACACAUGCAAGUCGAACGGUAUUUUUGUUGCUUGCAACAAAAAGAGAGUGGCGAACGGGUGAGUAACACGUAAGUAAUUUUUCUAUAUGACUGGAAUAGCCAGUGGAAACAUUGGGUAAUGCCAGAUAUUUUGUGUAAGGGAAACUUUACAUAAAAAAGGGUAUUUUUAUGCCGCAUAUAGCGAAGCUUGCGGCUGAUUAGCUUGUUGGUAAGGUAAUGGCUUACCAAGGCGACGAUCAGUAGCCGGCCUGAGAGGGUGAUCGGCCACACUGGGACUGAGACACGGCCCAGACCCCUACGGGAGGCAACAGCUAAGAAUCUUCCGCAAUGGGCGAAAGCCUGACGGAGCGACACCGCGUGAAUGAUGAAGGCCGAGAGGUUGUAAAGUUCUUUUGUUGCUGAAGAAUAAUUUUUAUGCGCAAGUAUAAAAAGAUGACAUUAAGCAAAGAAUAAGCCCCGGCUAAUUACGUGCCAGCAGCCGCGGUAAUACGUAAGGGGCGAGCGUUGUUCGGAUUUAUUGGGCGUAAAGAGUAUGUAGGCGGAUAAGUAAGCUUUAUGAUAAAGGUCGUAGCUCAACUACGGUGUAUUGUAAAGAACCACUUGUCUUGAGUUGUGGAGAGGGAACUGGAAUUCCUGGUGUAGGGGUGAAAUCCAUAGAUAUCAGGAAGAACACCAGAGGCGAAAGCGAGUUCCUAGCCAAUAACUGACGCUGAGAUACGAAAGCAUGGGGAGCGAACGGGAU